GGUCUUCUGUGUAUAUAAAAGAUCUAACCUGCCCAAUGAUUUAUUUAAUGGCUGCAGUAUUUUGACUGUACAAAGGUAGCAUAAUCAUUUGUCUCUUAAUUAGAGUCUAGGAUGAAUGGUUGGAUGAAAAAUUUACUUUCUUUAUUUUAAAUAAAUAAAUUAAUUUCUGAAUUAAAAAGUUUAGAUUUUAUUGAAGGACGAGAAGACCCUAUAGAACUUUAUUUUUUUAAAAAAAAUUAUCUAUUUGUAUAUGAACUUUAUAUAUUUUUUUAAAAAAAUUUUAUUGGGGUGAUAAAAAAAAUUUUAUAACUUUUUUUAAUUGUUUCAUUUAUGUAUGAGUUUUUGAUCCUUUAUUAUGGAUAAUAAGAUUAAGUUACCUUAGGGAUAACAGCGUUAUUGUUUUAGAGAGUUCAUAUCGAUAAAAUAGUUUGCGACCUCGAUGUUGGAUUAAAAUUAGCUUCAGGGGUAGAAUAUUGAUUGCUAGGUCUGUUC
rnacentral:rRNA from 1 species